rnacentral:misc_RNA from 1 species
GAACGCACAUUGCGCCCGCUAGUAUUCUGGCGGGCAUGCCUGUUCGAGCGUCAUUUGUACCUUCAAGCUUUGCUUGGUGUUGGGUGUUUGUCCUCUCCUUGGUGUUUGGACUCGCCUUAAAACAAUUGGCAGCCAGUGUUUUGGUAUUGAAGCGCAGCACAAGUCGCGAUUCUGACCUAGUAACACUUGCAUCCACAAGUCUUUUUAACUUUUGACCUCGGAUCAGGUAGGGAUACCCGCUGAACUUAAG